rnacentral:tRNA from 1 species
UCGGGAAGUAGCUCAGCUUGGUAGAGCACAUGGUUUGGGACCAUGGGGUCGCAGGUUCGAAUCCUGUCUUCCCGAUCC